rnacentral:rRNA from 1 species
GACGAACGCUGGCGGCGUGCUUAACACAUGCAAGUCGAACGAUGAAGCCUUUCGGGGUGGAUUAGUGGCGAACGGGUGAGUAACACGUGGGUAAUCUGCCUUGCACUCUGGGAUAAGCCUGGGAAACUGGGUCUAAUACCGGAUAUGACUACUUCACGCAUGUGGGGUGGUGGAAAGUUCUGGCGGUGUGAGAUGAACCCGCGGCCUAUCAGCUUGUUGGUGGGGUGAUGGCCUACCAAGGCGACGACGGGUAGCCGGCCUGAGAGGGCGACCGGUCACACUGGGACUGAGACACGGCCCAGACUCCUACGGGAGGCAGCAGUGGGGAAUAUUGCACAAUGGGCGAAAGCCUGAUGCAGCGACGCCGCGUGAGGGAUGACGGCCUCGGUU